GCUUCAUGUAGCUCUUCUCCA
rnacentral:sRNA from 1 species